rnacentral:lncRNA from 1 species
CAUCACUUUAACAGAGUGAGGCUGGCUGUGCAGCACUGAGGACACUUCACUUCUGAGGUACCAAGGAGUCCUGGGACCUUCGAGGGGUGGCGUGAUGAAAGCAGAAGCGCGUUGGGGCUGUGGCCUCUCGUCUGCAGGGACUGCCGUGGGAUCCGGCGGCCAUGACAUGAGAAGAUACCCUGGAAGCUUCAGCAGCCCACUCUGGCCCGGCGGCCACCGUAUGCGGGCGGCUCCCACCCUCUUCUCCGUCCUCUGAACUUGUAGCUACACAGCAGCGUCUCCCCAGCGUCUCCCAAGCGUCUCCGCUCCCAAGUCUUACGGCUCAAGUUCGGCACAAGCAGACCUGCUGAACCUGCCUCAGCCUUGGUAAAUGGGACCCCAGGCACCAUGACUCCAGCUGGAGACGGAGCCACUGCGGUGCCCCCUGCCCCGGGCACCCCAUGCCCUUUCAUCAGUUCUCUUGGUCCCGUCUUUAAGUAUUUUUCAGACUUGUCCACUUCUUUACUACGGGCUGUAGGCUAGUCUGACUGCCCCAACCCUCUGCUGAACUUAGCUGCCGCUUACUGCCCUUGGUUCCAAUGUACAGCCCUCCCGAGCCUGCCGCCCACAGCCUGCCUCACCUUCGCAGAAACGCUCGGGAUGGUGUAACUGCCCGUGCAGAGCCCUGGCUGGCGUCCAUCCUGCACCAGGACCCCGAUGUGCACUCCCUGCGGCAGCCGGGUCCAGGGUCCUCCUCAAAGCCCUCCCUCCUGCUGUGCUUAGCAGGGAGGGGCCGGCCCUGGGACCCUUCUGGUCCUGUACUGGUCCCAAUUCCUCUGCUCCUGCAGCCCAGCUGCUGAACAGCUCCCAGGAGUCGAGACUGUGGGUCCCUCCCAGCAGCUGGUGGAGAACAGCUCAGCCCAGACUCAGCCGUUUUCAAACAGAUUCCCAUUUUCAGACCAGGACAGUAAGGCCACAGGAGGCCCACCUUGGUUUUCAGAAAGGUUGCUCAUCAACUAUGCUGUUGCUUUCUCUUACAACUUGGGAUUCUAUCAGUUUCCAAACUGUGCAUACAAAUAAAUUCAUAAUAGUAGCAAUAAUCAAAAUUUUAC